AACCCUUAUCGUUAGUUGCCAGCGGGUAAUGCCGGGAACUCUAGCGAAACUGCCGGUGUAAACCGUGAGGAAGGUGGGGAUGACGUCAAAUCAGCACGGCCCUUAUGUCCAGGGCUACACACGUGUUACAAUGGCCGGUACAGAGGGCAGCUACCUGGAGACAGGAUGCGAAUCUCCAAAGCCGGUCUCAGUUCGGAUCGGAGUCUGCAACUCGACUCCGUGAAGCUGGAUUCGCUAGUAAUCGCGCAUCAGCCAUGGCGCGGUGAAUACGUUCCCGGGCCUU
rnacentral:rRNA from 1 species